AUUGAAUAAUGUCUGGCGAUUUUUUUUUUUUUAAUUAAAGGAAGCAGCCAGCUAGGGACCAAAUGCUUACAAAGUCCAAGAACCUUGCAGCCCAAGGGAAGAACUUUCCGAGCGCUAUUUGUCCGCUCAUUUAUUGGCGUGAAAUCAAUCGAAUCAAAUUCUAUUGCAAAAUUCAAAUCUCAGCUCUAUUAGGAUCAUCGUGUCAAAGGCCAUGGCUUGGUCUCAUGAUAUCUGCAGCAAACUCCCGCUUCUAAAGGGCAUCUUCUCAUGUAUUCCCUGGUUUUCUUCUGAUUCAUCGGAUUACGUUGGGUUCGAAGGCUACGAAGGAGAGCAUCCGGCGGAGGUCGCCGGAAACAUUGAGGCGCAAAAGCACUUCCGGCAACAAAUUCGUUUUUCUUAAGGAUGGAGAGCUAGAGACCCCGAAGAAGACGGAGAAGAGGAUCAUAUGGAUGCGCGUCGCUCAAAAAUUAAGAUAUCGCCAACAGAACCAUUCUGCUGAUGACUUCUUCAUACGAGUUGAAUGCUCCUAUGUUAUAUAUGGAAAUAGUUAAUAUGAGUGACGACUCAUUUCGCUAAAUAAGCUAUCAAUAGACAGACUAGUAGUAAGGUUCAUCAUGCUAGUCAUAUAGGAGCAGAUGAGCUUUCACCCCUCUUAAUUCUUGCUUUUUAGUGUAUUACUAGUUGUUCUAAUAGCUUAUGUUCGGUGAAUGUGUUUGUAUAUUACGAUAGAUCUAGUAGAGGGGCUAUAAGACAAGAUUGUCGGAGAAGCAUGCCUGGUGAAAUACGGGUAGGAACGAAACAAUUUGAGUACUAAGGUGAGGCUGCUGGCUAGGCCUUGAAGGUUAUGCAGCCCAAGCUUACCCCCAGUGUUCAUUAACUCAUCAUGAGUAUUGAUUCCCGUAGACGUUGUCACUUAUUUCUAUAAGAUAAAAUUGGAAAUUUGAUCGUAUUUAUUUGUGAGAUCGAGAUCUGACCCUCAUCGCUAAUUCUUCCAAUCAAAUGAAAUUGUUAGGGGGUUGAGGUUUCAUGUACUUGGAAAUCUAUAAGUCCUUUGCAUGUUCAAGUACGUGGACAUGAUAAUAAUAUGCCAGAUUUCAGUUGAAGUAUUCAUGGUUGUAU